GUAUAUGUCUGUGUGUGUAUUUAUAUUCCUGGGUACAAAUAUAUGUAUAUAAACACUUAGAAAAGACUCUGAUUGAAGUGUGUCUCAUAGGUGAUGGUGGGAGGGACAAGAAUUAAAGAGAGGUGGUCGGAGGGGACUUGAAUGUUUCCUAGAUGACAUAGAAUCUCAUAGACUCUGUGAAGACAGAUACAUAUUUACUUGCAUCUUAAAGUCAAUGGAAUCCUACACAUCCUUACACUUAGCCCAGGUGGAAUGCACUUGUCAUUCCCUGGGAAUGUGCUACAUCUUCUGGAAAAAUCCAGAACAUUCCAGCAAAUGCUGGAAAAGUCCUAUACCUUGAUGUAGGCCGUGCUUAUGUGGUCACACACACACACACAUAAAACUUCAUCAAGCCAUACGCUUAAGAUUUGUGCAUCUUACUAUAUGUACAACAUUGUAACGUUAUACGGAUAACAUAUAACAUUUUUUAAAAAACCAACCAAACACACCAGCAUCAAAGCUGGCUGAAGGGUGUCUAUGGCUCAGAAGAAAAUCCUGGAGAUAAUUGUGGAGCAAGAUUUUAACUCUCAGGAACCAAAUGGUUGGGCCAGGGAGGUGGUGAUGAAUCAGACCUGGUUAGAAAGUGUCCAGAGCAAAGCCUAAAUUAGGCAGGUUUUACGAAAAGCUGCUUUAGUACCCUGCACCAAUGGCUUUAAUUACAUCAUACGAUCUUUCAGGAAGUGCCACACUGCAAGGUUCUUGACAGCACAGAGGAUGAAGCCGUGUGGAAGGCAGGAAGAUACGGACAAGUCUGAAUCAAAAAGCAACCGCGAAGACUUGGAGUCUGAAGGCAGAAGUCUUAGGGACGCCCUGGCCGAUUUAUUACAUUUACAGUUUCCUUUUUUCAGUUUGCUCAGGAGUGAUAGUUGAUAUAAAUCCAUGUCUAAAAGAAGGCUAAAGGAGCUCUUUCAAUUUACAGUUGAUUCUCGUUUCUCGCGGUAGUUAUGUUCUCUAAAGUCGCCGCGAACGCUGGAUCAGUGAAUACUGAACCACUGAUCCUGGGGAAAUACGGGGUUAGCUUCCUUCGAGUCUCUGGUGACAUUUUCAUCAACAAAUCAAUAUAUAAGCUGGUUUUAUGUGUGUUUAUCUUUAAAGACACCUUAUUUAAUAUAUAUCAUUGAUUAGGUCACACUGAAGUCACGGCCAACAACUUGUGCCUGAAUGAAGCUCAUCUAACACACGUAUUUUCUCCGCAGGGCACACCACAGCCUUCCCCCGCUUAGGAACGCCAGCCAGCCCUUCAGUGCCGCCCUGGGGGGCAUUUUAAACAGCGAAAUCACCAACAAAAAGCCUAAAAGUACAAACAACGUGAAACUAAGUAGAUCACAAAAAAGACACUUGUUUACAGUACCAGAGCUGAAACAAGAAGGCAGAGUGUUGCCUGGCAACGAGCGCGAGAUCCGGCAACUCAAAUUUUUCUCCACUCUGCGCAUGUCCACGAAUGACCCCGAAAGUGCCGUCUCCAGACACGACUCAGUGCCCUCCACUCGGCCUGUGUGACGGACCCUUCCAUGCUGCUGUUCCUGGGGCUCUGGCCCAGACCCUCGGCCCUUCCCACUCCACAUUCUCACCCCUGAUCUUCUCGCCCAAGUCCAAUGUUUCAUUUUCCUUCCACAGCUGAGGGCCCUCGUUUGCUGUCACUGCCCAGGCCUCUCUCCUGAGCUCUCCCCGGGGCCUCUGGCUGCCCAGGAGCGUCUCCCCUGGACCCCCAGGUCGGUCACCGUCGCCUCCAUGGAGCUCAGUGUCUUCACCCAAAAGCUGCUCCCCUUCUCCCACAGUCCCCAGGACUUGAGCCGCAGGUACCACUGCAGCAGCGACGCCUGCAGCUUCAGGAAUUCCUGCGCUAGGCCCGCCGUCCAGUCGAAGUCCUCGUCGGAGAGGACGGGCCGGACAGAUUCCAGCUAUCAAAUGAUACUCUAAGGCGGUGGAUCUCGGAGUGCGGCCCUUGGACCAGCAGCAGCAGCACCAGCUGGGAGCUUGUUGGAAACGCAGAUUCCUGGUCCCACCCGGAGACCUACUAAGAUGGGCUCUCUUCGGGUGCAGCCCAGCAAUCAGUGUUUUAAGAAGCCUUCCAGGUGAUUCCAAUACGAUCUCAAGUCUAGGGCACACUGGCCUAAAGCCACAGUAAAUCAACACAUCUGCAAAGUUGCCAUCAGACAGACGUGAGCAGAGCCCACCUGGAGGACCUGGGGCCAGUCGUGUCCCCUCUGCAGACUGAGCAAAUCUGGCCUUCCUGGAAAUUUCUACCUCCGAUCCUGGAUCUUCUCUUUGGGGCCGUCUGCACAAAAUCUGAACGUCCUUCCCCAGGAGGACUAAUCCAAAGCUAAGAACCUGCCACGUCACUUGCCUCUGGUUCCCAGACCUUUCCCAAAGAUGAGAGCAACGACUAUAAUAAUUCAAUCAAGCUCGUUUAGUAACCUCCUGGCACUGGACUGAAUAUUCCACAUUCUUCCAACUAGUCUAAGAAGCAAUUAUUUUUACCCCCAUUUUACAGAUGAAGACCCUGACACCAAGAAUGGUGAAGUCUCUUGGCUGAGGCUACACCACUGGAGACUAGCCAAGCUCAUACUUUUGUUAGUAUAUAUAACCGUAUCUGGACAUUUUCUAGUUGUCACCAUCCCUCUU